rnacentral:hammerhead_ribozyme from 1 species
AUUCAGCUGAAGAGUCCGAAAAAUAGGACGAAACGCGCGAUCUAGAU